CAGCUUCCUUCCAAGCCAAAGGCCUUCCCUCCCAGCAGCAAAAGCAGUCAGAGGACGAUGUUCCCUAGUCUAAUCUGCUCUUUCCUUCCUUCAUUCAUUCAAUCAAUCAUUCACGCAGCUGGCCAGCAGACACUGGAUGACCACCCCUGGGCCAGGCCUUGUGGCAAAUGCUACAGUAAUGACCAGACACAUCACACCCGCCUUCUAGAAGCCCUCCCUCACAAACCGGAUCAACUGCUAUGAUAAAGUUUGGUUUCCUUCUUUUCAUGAUUCACCAUUAGAAGAACCCACCCAGGUAAUCACUGCUUGCUCGGAUCCCAGCAAAUUCUAGAUCCCAGAACUAGUGCUCUUAGAGCCAAGGCCAGCCGAUCCAAGUCUGGACUACUGCUCAGAUGAGCCGAGCCUGAAUUUGGGAGUGGUUGUUACAGAGCAUUACCCUGGCAAUAACUGACUGAUGCAGAGAUGUAAAUAGACAUCACUGGUGGAGCCCCCAGGAAAGCUCUUUAACAGAAGACAGACUCAGCUGGCAGGUUUCCCGUCUCCUUGAAUGAAGACAGGCUCAAUGCUUGGAGGGGUGAGAGGAGGCAGCCAUCUUACAACCACAGGUCACAGGAAGACACUAAACAAGGCCGUGUGGAAAGACAGAAGGAGCCUCCAUCCCUCAGCACCACAGAGACAUUGUAUCAGCCUAGAAAUGCCUAAAUCUGAACUUCCUCUUACCUAAGAAAAAUAAAACCUCAAUUUGAUUCAA
rnacentral:lncRNA from 1 species